rnacentral:lncRNA from 1 species
UGCGUGCCCGUGUGAGCGCAGCUCCUUUGCACGGGGGGGGCGCGCAGUGCGUGCGUGCAGCUGCUUUGCAUGUGGGUGUGCACGUCGUGCGUGCAUGCAGCUCCUUUGCAUGUGUGUGUGCACGUACUGCAUGCAUGCAGCUGCUUUGCACGUGAGUGUGUGCACAUAGUGCAUGCAUGCAGCUGCUUUGCAUGUGGGAGUGCACAUAGUGCAUGCAUGCAGCUGCUUUGCAUGUGAGUGUGUGGCCAUGUUGCAUGCAUGCAGCUCCUUUGCAUGUGAGUGUGCCCAUGGUGAAUGCAUGCAGCUGCUUUGCACGUGAUUAUGUGCACAUUGUGCAUGCAUGCAGCUCCUUUGAAUGUGUGUGUGCACGUGGUGCAUGCAUGCAGCUCUUUUGCAUGUGUGUGUGCACAUCGUGCAUGCAUGCAGCUCCUUUGCAUGUGGGUCUGAACAUACUGCAUGCAUGCAUCUGAUUUGCAUGUGAGUGUGCACAGUGCAUGCAUGCAGCUCCUUUGCAUGUGGGCGUGCACAGCUGCUUUGCAUGUGUGUGCACAUAAUGCAUGCGUGCAGCUGCUUGCAUGUGUGCGUGCACAUCGUGCAUGCAUGCAGCUCUUCUGUAUGUGGUUUGCAUAUAAUGCAUGCAUGCAGCUCCUUUGCUUGGGGGUGUGUGCAUAUAGUGCAUGCAUGCAGCUGCUUUGCGUGUGUGUGUGCGCGUAGUGCAUGCAUGCAGCUCUUUUGCAUGUGGGUGUGCACGUCGUGCAUGCAUGCAGAUGAUUUGCAAGUGUUUGUGCUCACAGUGCAUGCAUGCAGCUGCUUUGAGUGUGUGUGCGCCCAUGGUGCAUGCAUGCAGCUGCUUUGCAUGUGGGUUUGCACACAGUGCACGCAUGCAGCUCCUAUGCAUGUGUGAGUGCACAUAGUGCAUGCAUGCAGCUCCUUUGCAUGUCAGUGUGCCCAUGGUGCAUGCAUGCAGCUGCUUUGCACGUGAUUAUGUGCACAUUGUGCAUGCAUGCAGCUCCUUUCCAUGAGGUGUGUGCACGUGGUGCAUGCAUGCAGCUCUUUUGCAUCUGUGUGUGCACAUAGUGCAUGCAUGCAGCUCCUUUGCAUGUGAGUGUGUCCAUAAUGCAUGCAUGCAGCUGCUUUGCACGUGAGUGUGUGCACAUAGUGCAUGCUUGCAGCUGCUUUGCAUGUGGGUGUGUGAACAUUGUGCAUGCAUGCAGCUCCUUUGCAUGUGAGUACAUGCACAGUGCAUGCAUGCAGCUCCUUUACAUGUGUGUGUGCACAGUGCAUGCAUGCAGCUCCUUUGCAUGUGGGUGUGCGCAUAGUGCAUGCAUGGAGCUCCUUUGAUUGCCGUGUGUCUGUUUGCACAUGGUGCCGAUGCAUGCAGCUCCUUUGCAUGUGUGUGUUUGCAAGGGGGCUGUGAGAACCCCCUGGUGCCACCCCAUGGCAUCGGUGUCCUCUUGUUGGCACCCCAUGGCAUCGGUGCCCCUUGCUGCCACCCCAUUGCGUUGGGG